rnacentral:rRNA from 1 species
AUUGAACGCUAGCGGGAUGCCUUACACAUGCAAGUCGAACGGAGUGGCGAACGGGUGAGUAAUGUAUCGGAACGUGCCCAGUAGCGGGGGAUACCUACGCGAAAGCGUAGCUAAUACCGCAUACUAUUGGAGCGGCCGCUAUCGUCUUAGCUAGUUGGAGUGGUAACGGCUCACCACGGCGAAGAUCCGUCGCGGGUUUUAGAGGACGACCAGCCACACUGGGACGGAGACACGGCCCAGACUCCUACGGGAGGCAGCAGUGGGGAAUUUUGGACAAUGGGGGAAACCCUGAUCCAGCCAUCCCGCGUGUGCUAUGAAGGCCUUCGGGUUGUAAAGCACUUUUGGCAGGAAAGCGGUACCUGCAGAAUAAGCACCGGCUAACUACGUGCCAGCAGCCGCGGUAAUUC